rnacentral:rRNA from 1 species
UACAGAGGUCUCAAGCGUUGUUCGGAUUCAUUGGGCGUAAAGGGUGUGUAGGCGGCGCCGUAAGUCGGGUGUGAAAUUUCGGAGCUUAACUCCGAAACUGCAUUCGAUACUGCGGUGCUUGAGGACUGGAGAGGAGACUGGAAUUCAUGGUGUAGCAGUGAAAUGCGUAGAUAUCAGGAGGAACACCGAUGGCGAAGGCAGGUCUCUGGGCUGACACUGACGCUCAUGCACGAAAGCGUGGGGAGCAAACAGG